rnacentral:rRNA from 1 species
UACGGAGGGUGCAAGCGUUAUCCGGAUUCACUGGGUUUAAAGGGUGCGUAGGUGGGUUGGUAAGUCAGUGGUGAAAUCUCCGUGCUUAACAUGGAAACUGCCAUUGAUACUAUAGAUCUUGAAUAUCCUGGAGGUGAGCGGAAUAUGUCAUGUAGCGGUGAAAUGCUUAGAUAUGACAUAGAACACCAAUUGCGAAGGCAGCUCACUACUGGAUCAUUGACACUGAGGCACGAAAGCGUGGGGAGCAAACGGG